GACGAACGCUGGCGGCGUGCUUAACACAUGCAAGUCGAACGGAAAUGCCCUGCUUUUUUCGGGUGCUCGCAUUGCGAACCGGUGGGUAACAAGUGAGUAACCUUCCCUUUCCUUUGGGGUAACUUCCGGAAACUGGGGCUAAUACCGGAUAGUUGCUCCUGCUCCAUGGUGUGGGUUGGAAAGUUUCGGCGGUUGGGGCUGGACUCGCGGCGUAUCAGCUUGUUGGUGGGGUAGUGGCUUACCAAGGCUUUGACGGGUAGCCGGCCUGAGAGGGUGACCGGCCACAUUGGGACUGAGAUAGGGCGCAGCAGCCUACGGGAGGGAGCAGUGGGGAAAAUUGCACAAUGGGCGGAAGGCUGAUGCAGCAACGCCGUGUGCGGGAUGAAGGCCUUCGGGUGGUAAAGAGGGUCCGCCUGUGACGAGGGGUGAGUGCCGGUAACGGGUAAAGAAGCGCCGGCUAACUACGUG
rnacentral:rRNA from 1 species